UCCGUACUCCGUACUCCGUAGUUGCUAUUCUGCUUUUCGUUUUACGACUUCGUACCGUGUGUGGUGUUGGUUGUGCUUCCUGUUUCCUUCUCAUUGUGUUUAUCUAUCGCCUUCCUUUGUUCAGUGUCAUAUAAAAGGAGUUGCUGCCGCUUUGAUUCGCGAACAUGGUGAUAAACAUAUAAACUAGUCCGAAUCUGAUUGUCUGUAGAACAUAGAGAAGUUGACCAAUGUGUUUCCUAACCAAGACCAUUACCUAGCUAGGUUGUAGGUAGUAGCAGUAGGUCAGCAAGCCUAAACUCAUAGCAAAGAUCAAUCAAGUACCGCAACUCGUGAAUGCAGCUAUUAAAAUGAACAUUCAUGUGCUCAACUUCUUUCAUGACAGGUGGUUCUUAAUCUCAGUUUGAAAUAAUGGACGCACACCUGUGCUGCUUGAACCUGCUUCAACAAUGUCAAUUACCCAGAUGUUGUGACGCCAGAUUUGAUAGACACAAUCAAUCAUUACCCUGUUGACAUACUGGUACUGCAUACAGAGAACUCCUGAGUCUUUAGCCUACAAUACUGUUUUUAAAAGCAAUUUUUUGUA